rnacentral:misc_RNA from 1 species
AGCAGUUUUUCAAUCAAAU